rnacentral:rRNA from 1 species
AGCGAACGCUGGCGGCAGGCCUAACACAUGCAAGUCGAACGAACCUUUCGGGGUUAGUGGCGGACGGGUGAGUAACCCGUGGGAACGUUCCCUUAGGUUCGGAAUAACUCAGGGAAACUUGUGCUAAUACCGAAUGUGCCCUUCGGGGGAAAGAUUUAUCGCCUUUAGAGCGGCCCGCGUCUGAUUAGCUAGUUGGUUGAGGUAAUGGCUCACCAAGGCGACGUUCAGUAGCUGGUCUGAGAGGAUGAUCAGCCACAUUGGGACUGAGACACGGCCCAAACUCCUACGGGAGGCAGCAGUGGGGAAUCUUGCGCAAUGGGCGAAAGCCUGACGCAGCCAUGCCGCGUGAAUGAUGAAGGUCUUAGGAUUGUAAAAUUCUUUCACCGGGGACGAUAAUGACGGUACCCGGAGAAGAAGCCCCGGCUAACUUCGUG